UCUGCCACACGGUUGUCUUUUCCGCUUUUCUUUUUCUUUUUCGCUGUUGUUGUUCGACCCUCUCUAUCCGUUAGCGACACCACCUCCGGCACCCCACGUGACGUUGGGUUCACACACGCCAGCAUCGGUCGAUUCCGUUAUCUGCUCAUAUAUGCCUCAAACCGGGUACACUGUUCGCGUAUAUCUUUUUAAGCUUGCGUAAUAGCACGCUUUGUUCUCUCCUAUCGCCUCACGCGGUCGCGCUCUGUACUGCGGUGGCACCCCUGCCCGUUCGGUUUAGGCUCUGCUCUCGUACUCCCUGCCCAUUCUGUGCUUCCGCUGUCGGCAGCAUGGCCCCUACCAUUUGCGUCUGCGUCGAUGAUGACCUCUGCGGUGCGGUGUGUGAUGUUCUGAAGCAGCUCGAGGGCAGGAUCUCCGCAAUCGUGUGCGGCACCGAUGUCAGCUGCUUUGCUUCUGUGAAGGCAGACAACGAUGGCAUUUUCAUGGUUGUUUCGGGGAGCUGCGCCCACGCUGUCAUCAAGGAUCUUUGCGACGACUAUGACAAGGAGGAGCGUCGCGUGAAGCUCAUCUACAGCCUAUAUGCCGGCGUCGACGCGUACAAGCUCUCGGAGCUGAAGCAGGAGCUCUCCGGCAUCCUGUUCUGCAACGCACAGGGCUGCUGCUCCAACGUUCUUGCAGAGUACGUCGUAUUCAGCAUGCUGUACUUCAAUCGCCUCCCAUGGCGCUUGGCUGCCUCGAAGAAUGAGAAGAAGUGGGACCCCUUCAGCAGCAUUGAACUCCGGCGGCAGAAGCUCGUGAUCAUCGGCUACGGCAACAUCGGCGAAGCCUGCGGCGCGAAGGCGGUGGCGCUGGGCAUGCAGGUGACCGGCAUCCGUCGCAGCGGCGACAAGAAGACGGACAAGUUUGGUGUGAUGGUGCGCGGCAAUGACGCGCUGGACGAGUCGAUCCGUGAGGCCGACUUUGUCGUUUCUGUGCUGCCUGGCACGGAGCACACGAGGCGCUUCUUCGACAAGGCGUUCUUUGCAAAGAUGAAGCCGAGCGCCGUCUUCAUCAACAUUGGCCGUGGCAUGUCGGUGUGCGAAGCUGACAUCAUCGAGGCUCUCAAAAAAGGCACUAUUCGUGCUGCUGCUCUCGAUGUGUUUGAUGUGGAGCCGCAGCCAGUCGCAUCCCUCGUAUCUGUUGUCGAUGAUGACAAUCUGUUCGUGAACUCGUUGUCCAGAGACACGGCACUCAAAUUGUGGUGUGACACACAGAUUUUCUUCUGCCGGCUCGCCGAGGGCUCUCUGAGUACUCGAAAGGUAGCCGCCUAGUAGCCGGUCGGCAAAUACGGUUAUGUAGCACAGCCUUCCUUAGCGCAACGCUCUGCGUCAAUGGCGAUGAUGGGGAGGAGUUGAAGGUUUUUGUUCACUCGCUGUGUCUUCUUUCUCUUCCCUGUUCAGGUGGUCCCUCUGCUGCUAUCCUUGCGUUGAUCACCCCCCUCCCCCGCCUUCUCUGCUACUUCUGCUCACGUUGGGCCCACCCUCUGCUGCUGUAUUUUGUUAAAG
rnacentral:misc_RNA from 1 species